GACCCCAGGUCAGACGGGAUUACCCGCUUAGUU
rnacentral:rRNA from 1 species